rnacentral:rRNA from 1 species
GUGAGGAAUAUUGGUCAAUGGGCGGGAGCCUGAACCAGCCAAGUCGCGUGAAGGAAGAAGGAUCUAUGGUUCGUAAACUUCUUUUGCAGGGGAAUAAAGUGCGGGACGUGUCCUGUUUUGUAUGUACCCUGAGAAUAAGGAUCUGCUAACUCUGUGCCAGCAGCCGCGGUAAUACGGAGGAUCCGAGCGUUAUCCGGAUUUAUUGGGUUUAAAGGGUGCGUAGGUGGUUUGAUAAGUCAGCGGUGAAAGUUUGCAGCUUAACUGUAAAAAUGCCGUUGAAACUGUCGGACUUGAGUGUAAAUGAGGUAGGCGGAAUGCGUGGUGUAGCGGUGAAAUGCAUAGAUAUCACGCAGAACUCCGAUUGAGAAGGCAGCUUACUAAGCUACAACUGACACUGAAGCACGAAAGCGUGGGGAUCAAACAGGAUUAGAAACCCCUGUAGUCC